UACGUAGGGGGCAAGCGUUGUCCGGAAUCAUUGGGCGUAAAGAGCGCGUAGGCGGUCCGAUAAGUCGGUUGUGAAAACUGGGGGCUCAACCCUCAGAGGCCGACCGAUACUGUCGGGCUAGAGUCCGGAAGAGGCGAGUGGAAUUCCUGGUGUAGCGGUGAAAUGCGCAGAUAUCAGGAGGAACACCAAUGGCGAAGGCAGCUCGCUGGGACGGUACUGACGCUGAGACGCGAAAGCGUGGGGGAGCAAACAGG
rnacentral:rRNA from 1 species